GACGGACGCUGGCGGCGUGCCUAAUACAUGCAAGUUGAGCGCUGAAGGUUGGUACUUGUACCAACUGGAUGAGCAGCGAACGGGUGAGUAACGCGUGGGGAAUCUGCCUUUGAGCGGGGGACAACAUUUGGAAACGAAUGCUAAUACCGCAUAAAAACUUUAAACACAAGUUUUAAGUUUGAAAGAUGCAAUUGCAUCACUCAAAGAUGAUCCCGCGUUGUAUUAGCUAGUUGGUGAGGUAAAGGCUCACCAAGGCGAUGAUACAUAGCCGACCUGAGAGGGUGAUCGGCCACAUUGGGACUGAGACACGGCCCAAACUCCUACGGGAGGCAGCAGUAGGGAAUCUUCGGCAAUGGACGAAAGGCUGACCGAGCAACGCCGCGUGAGUGAAGAAGGUUUUCGGAUCGUAAAACUCUGUUGGUAGAGAAGAACGUUGGUGAGAGUGGAAAGCUCAUCAAGUGACGGUAACUACCCAGAAAGGGACGGCUAACUACGUG
rnacentral:rRNA from 1 species